rnacentral:misc_RNA from 1 species
GAUCAUUACAGUAUUCUUUUCAGCUGGAGAUGACUGCUUGCGUUCCAUCUUGGGAUUUGAAGUUUGAGCUGCGCUGCUGUAAUAUUGCGUGCGCGGCUUCACGUCAAAACCCUGGAAAGCGAAAGGUUACUCCACUCAAGGCUUGAGAAACCUCCUACACACUUUGUUUUCUUAUUAGAGACAAACUUGCUUUGGCUAACUGCUGUGUAAAAACAGUGUGUGGUUAGCCAAAGGUUUUCUAACCAAAACUCUUGUUUUUAUUCUUUUCGGAGAAUUGAGAACGUGUAUUUUUACAACCAAAACAGUCAUUAAAUUUGUGGAUGUAUGUCCCAACUAAAAAAUUUAAAACUUUCAACAACGGAUCUCUUGGUUCUCGCAUCGAUGAAGAACGCAGCGAAAUGCGAUAAGUAAUGUGAAUUGCAGAUUUUCGUGAAUCAUUGAAUCUUUGAACGCACAUUGCGCCCUCUGGUAUUCUGGAGGGCAUGCCUGUUUGAGCGUCAUUUCCUUCUCAAACCCUUUUUUGGGUCUGGUGAUGAGCGAUACUUUUAGAAAUAUAAGUUCGUUUGAAAUGUAAUGGCGUGAGCUUUUGUUUUACAAACUAUAGUUGUUUAUUCAAUGUAUUAGGUUUUAUCCAUCGUUGUAUUUAACUUCUACAGAGUGUAACAAAGUUUUGGCUCUGCCUAAUAAACUUUAUCAUAAAG